UCCUAAUGUAAGCUAUCUGUCUCUGAAACUUGGAGAGACUUCUCUUCUCCAGUACAUCUUCAUCGUUGUGCUCGACAGUGCUACCGCAGCUUCAUUUUCGUUGUCCACAAGCCACGGUAGUUUCGUCAUCGUCGUGACAGCUCCUUCUCCUCUUCAUCCUUGCAAAUUCAAGCUAAAGAUCGCUUUCAGUUUCAAGUUCAAGUUCAAAGGUUCAAAGAGAAGAGAGCUUUGGCAUUGAGUUUGCCAUUUAGGCGUUGGAGAUAAGUGUCUCAUAACAAGGUAUGUUUAUAUUGCGUAAGGUGAAACCAUAUUUUCUCGGCAUUUAGUUUCGUUUUUUUUUUCUUCAACAAAUGAAUUGUUAGAAUGUAACAAGAUAUGUUACUUUCUGUUUACUUUUACUAUCGAUCUAUCCAUUUUAAACAUUAUAUUUUCAUAGAUGGAUAACAAAAAUAUCAAAUUCCCAAAGGUCUAUAAUAGUGUAAUUUAUAAAAUUGUCUACAUAAAUUCAAAUUCAUAGAGACAGUACUUUAAUUUGUGUAUACAACUGUUGUAAGAAAAUUUUAUCUAGGCGAUGCUGGAUUUAUGCUAAAGCAUGGGGUACUUACACCAUAUAGAGGUGUUCGGUAUCACCUAAAAGAGUAUUCAGUACGUGAGUCCCAAAAUCCGAAAGAACUAUUCAACCAUUGCCAUUCUUCAUUACGAAAUGUCAUCGAAAGAUGUUUCAGAGUUCUAAAGAAAAGAUUCCCAAUUAUAACUGGUGACACUGAACCUUAUUAUUCGUUUGAAACUAUGAGAGACAUUUUUUUAGCAUGUUGUAUAUUGCAUAACUUUUUAAUGGGUGUCGAUAUUGAUCAAUCUAUAAUUGAGGCGGUUGACCAAGAAUUGCUACAAGAACGCAACAUAGAUAGAUCACAAUCAAAUCAACAACGUGAUGAGGAAUAUAGAUAUGCAGCAAUGCUACGAGAUAAUAUUGCAGCUGAAAUGUGGAAUGUGUAUCAAACUUUAUAAGUGAUUAUGUGAUUAUAUGUUUCCUUUAUAUGAAUAUGUAAAUAUCUGUAUUUUACAGUCAAAAUUGUUUAAUUAGAUUUUUUUGAGGGAUUUUUUUACAGGUUAAGUAAUGCCAAAUAAAGAAAAUAAAACAACAGAAGCUAAUCAAUUUUCUAAAGACAACUUAAGAUGGUCUGAUGAGAUGAAUGAAGUUCUGCUGAAUGUAUUAGCAGAAGAAGCAUUGAAAGGUAAUAGACACGAUGGCUCGUAAACAAUUAAAGCAUAUGUUAAUGUUGUGAAGACUUUGAGCUUAGCAAUAGGCCCACACAUAACAAAGAACCACAUUAAGAAUAGAAUGAAGACAUUGAAAGUUCAUUUUGCUGAGACAUAUGACUUAUUUCAUCAUUUAAGUGGAUUUGCAUGGAAUCCUGUUACUAGAAAGUUUGAAGCUGAAGAAGAAGAGUGGCAAGACUUUAUUAAGGAGAAACCACAUGCAGAAAAAUGGAAGAAAAUGCAAAUUAAGCAUUAUGAUACUUUGAAGGAGUUGUUCGUAGCUGAUAGAGCUACUGGUAAAGGGGCUACUACUUCACGAGAAAGAAUUCAACAACUUGAUAGAGAUCACAUUGAUUUGAAUGACUCGUUUGAAAACAUUGGAUUUUCUGACAUAGAUGUUAAUAUGGGACAUGAUACCCCAACGUUUUCUGCUAAUUUAGAUUCACCAAGUGCUCUUCAUAGUCAACCAAAUCAAUUAGGUGGGACUUCAACAUCAAGAGGAAUAGAGCGUAAGUCUCCUAUGAAUGAUUUUUUGGAGGCACAAUAUGAGAAAGUUGCUUUGGAAAUUACUACCAUGGCCGAUGCUGUCAAAGAGGGUAGUUAUCUAUCUAGCAAGCUACAUGACGUAGCUCAGAGGCAGGUUGAAUCAGCUGAGAGACAAGCUUCUGUGGCUGAGAGACAAGUUUCGGUUGUCGAAAAACAAAUGUCGUUAAUUGAAAGACAAGUUGCAAUUGUUGAAAAAGGGUUAGCUAUUAUGCAACAAAGUAGGCCUCGCCUUUAUAGCGAAUCAGAUGUAUGGAAUAUGUUGACUGAAUUGGGUCUGAUUGGCUCAGCUCGAAUGCAGUGUUAUUAGUUUUUUUGUGAAAAUGAGCAGAAAAAGCGCCAAAUUUUUGGGAUCCCACCUGAAAUGCGAUUGGAUGCUCUUUUUCAUUUCAUGACAGCUACUGGUGUUCGCUUAGGAGAUAUGGUACUUCCAUAAAACAUUAACCAUUAGAGGAAUCAUAAUACUUGAAAAUGUUUGGGAACAACAAGUACACUGCUUAGUACAAGUAGCUAUCGAUCAUGUGUUAAUAUUUUUGACUCGGAGAAACUUUAUUUUUUUGAAGUAGAUGAGUACAGAUGGCUCAAGCUAUGUAGAAUUGAUUUUUUGGAAGUAGGCGAUGACGCUGACCACGAAGUAAUACCCUUUUAAAAAGUGUUAUCUGGUGAUAAAAUAGUACUCUCUAGGAGUUCUUUUGGUUAUUACUUUUUUGGCGUUUUGUUAUAUGUCUAUAAAAAUUGUAUAUGAUUUUUGGUCGCACGUACUUGAAA